rnacentral:misc_RNA from 1 species
ACAAAAUUUUGUCUGCUAUACUAAAGGAAAUUUCUGAUAAGUUUGCAUAUGGAGAGAAAAUUUUUGUUUUUGUAUUGCAGUUAUAUAUGUUAAACCUUACUUGCAGGUAUGCAUUUGUCGCUCCCGGAAUUGUAGAUGGGAAAAAUGCUCAGUCUCCAGUAGGGGAACUUGGAAUGGUUGAGAUGACCCAGGCUCUGGAAUAAUUGAUGUUUGCUAUGAGCAGGAUAUAUGGGGGAGGGUAACAGACAUAAUUCACACAAGUGCUGGGCUGUAUAUGUUUGCUUCACCCACUUUUACAUUCUCUAUGCAUCUUCA